rnacentral:rRNA from 1 species
AUGGCACCAGUUGUGGAUUACAGUCAGCGUGAGAUGGAGAUCAAAGCCUUCGACGAAAGCAAAGCCGGCGUUAAAGGGCUCGUCGACGCCGGCGUCACCAAGCUUCCCACCAUGUUCAUACACCCUCCGGAGAACCUCCUCAGCUCCUCACUCCGCGAAGACGACGAGCAUCUUCACAAGGUUCGCAGCCUUCGUUUCCCCGUGAUUGAUCUCAGCGGGUUUGAUUCCUCGGAGAGUCGAACGGAGAUCGUGGAGGAGAUAAAGAAAGCGGCCGAGUCAUGGGGAUUCUUUCAGCUGGUGGAUCAUGGGAUUCCUCUUGGCGUCAUCGAGGGUGCCCAGAGAGGUAUCCGAGCUUUUCAUGAGCUCCCUCAGGAGGAGAAGGCAAAGUGGUACUCGCGUGACUUUGCUCAGCAUGUUAACUUCUUCAGCUUUCAUGGAGAUUUCAAGGUGACGACCCCGGCCGAUUGGAGAGAUACCUUGUCUUGCAAGGUUCUUGAAGACCCUGCAAGCUUUGAAGCAAUACCACAAAUUUGCAGAGAAGAAGUGAGGACGUACAUGAAAGGAAUCGAUGGAGUUAUGAGGAAGUUGUCUGAGUUAUUAUCAGAAGCUUUAGGUCUUGGAAGUGAUUAUCUAGCGACCACAAGAUGCUUCAACGCAAGGUCAAUGGCGUGUCACUAUUUCCCGAUAUGUCCAGAGCCACAUUUGACCAUGGGUGGGACCAAGCAUACCGACCUUGGGUUUCUGACCUUGCUCCUCCAAGACAGUGUCGGUGGCCUUCAAGUUCUUCAUCAAGAUGUUUGGAUUGAUGUUCCUCCAGUCAAGGGUGCAUUGCUGGCAAAUAUGGGUGACAUGAUGCAGAUUAUUACAAACGGGGGGUUCAAGAGCGUGGAGCACCGAGUUCUGCUCAAACCAACAGUACCACCACGUAUCUCCAUCGCAUGCUUUCUGAGCAUCGAUGAUCUUGAUAGGCCAUAUGGACCAAUAAAGGAGCUUUUAUCAGAAGAUAAUAGGCCCAUUUUUGACCAGGUCAUAUUCCGGGAGUACAUGAAGAAGUAUAAAUUAUAA